GGUUGCUACAAUAGGAGCGAAACGGCUUUCAAGACCGGUUCGAGAUCAGAAAGGUCAACAACAAAGGACCCGGAGUCCACCACCAACUCGUGCGCCAACAUCAGGUCCAGCUGGAGUGAUUACUGCAGCGAGUGGGAGUGGACAAACCGUAACGAUUCGUGUUGUCAGACAGUAUAGAAGAGUCAACAGCAAGAAGUCAACGUUGCCUGACAAAUUCUGGUGCAAAAUUUGUGGCGCAGGUUUUCCAAGACAAAACGCACUGAACAAGCAUGUAAAGAUACAUGAGGGGAAGUUUAAAGGAAAAUCUUACAAGAAUAAGAAGGGGGCUUAUCCAUGCCCGCAUUGCAAUGUGGUGUUUUCUUUCAGCACCAAUCUGUCGAAGCAUAUCAAAGAGACGCAUGUCGUUCCAUCCCAACAAACCAUG